AAUGAACGUUGGCGGCGUGGAUUAGGCAUGCAAGUCGAACGAAGCACGGGGGGCAACUCUCGUGACUGAGUGGCGAAAGGGGCAGUAAGGCGUGGGUAACCUACCCUGGGACUGGAAUAGCUAUCCUAACGGAUAGGUAAUACCGGGCGACGUAGCGAGGGGGCAUCUCCUUGUUACCAAAUGAAUUUCGCCCUGGGAGGGGCUCACGUGGUAUUAGCUAGUUGGUGAGGUAACGGCUCACCAAGGCUUAGAUGCCUAGCCGGUGUGAGAGCACGACCGGCGCCACUGGCACUGAGACACUGGCCAGACUCCUACGGGAGGCUGCAGUCGAGAAUCUUCGGCAAUGGGCGCAAGCCUGACCGAGCGACGCCGCGUGUGCGAUGAAGGCCUUCGGGUUGUAAAGCACUGUCGAGGGGGAGGAAGCCGCAAGGUUGACCUAUCCCUGGAGGAAGCACGGGCUAAGUUCGUGCCAGCAGCCGCCGUAACAC
rnacentral:rRNA from 1 species